UACGGAGGGUGCAAGCGUUAUCCGGAUUCACUGGGUUUAAAGGGUGCGUAGGUGGAUUGGUAAGUCCGUGGUGAAAUCUCUGAGCUUAACUCAGAAACUGCCGUGGAUACUACUGGUCUUGAAUAUUGUGGAGGUGAGCGGAAUAUGUCAUGUAGCGGUGAAAUGCUUAGAUAUGACAUAGAACACCUAUUGCGAAGGCAGCUCACUACACAACCAUUGACACUGAGGCACGAAAGCGUGGGGAUCAAACAGG
rnacentral:rRNA from 1 species